rnacentral:rRNA from 1 species
ACGCUAGGACCGUGCCGUCCCCUCCCCCGUGGUCGAGCGGGAGCGCCUGCAGGCGGAUUCCCGGUCGGUCGUUUCCACUCUCCGAGUGGGCGGCCGUCGGGCGACGCUGUUGGUGGAGUUCUUCCCGCGCGGGGUCAGGCGGCUCGCGGCGAGUAGGUCGGUCACCCACCCGACCCGUCUUGAAACACGGACCAAGGAGUCUAACAUGUGCGCGAGUCACGGGGUCUUGCUUAGGCCCAGAGGCGCAAUGAAAGUGAAGGCCGGUCCCGAGAUCGGCCGAGUUGGGACUCUCC